AGAGUUUGAUCAUGGCUCAGAUUGAACGUUGGCGGCAGGCCUAACACAUGCAAGUCGAACGGUAACAGGAAGCAGCUUGCUGCUUUGCUGACGAGUGGCGGACGGGUGAGUAAUGUCUGGGAAACUGCCUGAUGGAGGGGGAUAACUACUGGAAACGGUGGCUAAUACCGCAUAACGUCGCAAGACCAAAGAGGGGGACCUUCGGGCCUCUUGCCAUCAGAUGUGCCCAGAUGGGAUUAGCUUGUUGGUGAGGUAACGGCUCACCAAGGCGACGAUCCCUAGCUGGUCUGAGAGGAUGACCAGCCACACUGGAACUGAGACACGGUCCAGACUCCUACGGGAGGCAGCAGUGGGGAAUAUUGCACAAUGGGCGCAAGCCUGAUGCAGCCAUGCCGCGUGUAUGAAGAAGGCCUUCGGGUUGUAAAGUACUUUCAGCGGGGAGGAAGGUGUUGUGGUUAAUAACCGCAGCAAUUGACGUUACCCGCAGAAGAAGCACCGGCUAACUCCGUGCCAGCAGCCGCGGUAAUACGGAGGGUGCAAGCGUUAAUCGGAAUUACUGGGCGUAAAGCGCACGCAGGCGGUCUGUCAAGUCGGAUGUGAAAUCCCCGGGCUCAACCUGGGAACUGCAUUCGAAACUGGCAGGCUUGAGUCUUGUAGAGGGGGGUAGAAUUCCAGGUGUAGCGGUGAAAUGCGUAGAGAUCUGGAGGAAUACCGGUGGCGAAGGCGGCCCCCUGGACAAAGACUGACGCUCAGGUGCGAAAGCGUGGGGAGCAAACAGGAUUAGAUACCCUGGUAGUCCACGCCGUAAACGAUGUCUACUUGGAGGUUGUGCCCUUGAGGCGUGGCUUCCGGAGCUAACGCGUUAAGUAGACCGCCUGGGGAGUACGGCCGCAAGGUUAAAACUCAAAUGAAUUGACGGGGGCCCGCACAAGCGGUGGAGCAUGUGGUUUAAUUCGAUGCAACGCGAAGAACCUUACCUGGUCUUGACAUCCACAGAAGAAUCCAGAGAUGGAUUUGUGCCUUCGGGAACUGUGAGACAGGUGCUGCAUGGCUGUCGUCAGCUCGUGUUGUGAAAUGUUGGGUUAAGUCCCGCAACGAGCGCAACCCUUAUCCUUUGUUGCCAGCGGUUAGGCCGGGAACUCAAAGGAGACUGCCAGUGAUAAACUGGAGGAAGGUGGGGAUGACGUCAAGUCAUCAUGGCCCUUACGACCAGGGCUACACACGUGCUACAAUGGCGCAUACAAAGAGAAGCGACCUCGCGAGAGCAAGCGGACCUCAUAAAGUGCGUCGUAGUCCGGAUUGGAGUCUGCAACUCGACUCCAUGAAGUCGGAAUCGCUAGUAAUCGUGGAUCAGAAUGCCACGGUGAAUACGUUCCCGGGCCUUGUACACACCGCCCGUCACACCAUGGGAGUGGGUUGCAAAAGAAGUAGGUAGCUUAACCUUCGGGAGGGCGCUUACCACUUUGUGAUUCAUGACUGGGGUGAAGUCGUAACAAGGUAACCGUAGGGGAACCUGCGGUUGGAUCACCU
rnacentral:rRNA from 1 species